rnacentral:rRNA from 1 species
GAUUAACGCUGGCGGCGUGCCUAACACAUGCAAGUCGAGCGGCAGCGAGUUUUACACUGAAUUCUGGAAGCUUCUAGUUGAAAGAGAAGAUUUAUUCAAGAAUUUUGUGUAAAAUGUCGGCUAGCGGCGGACGGCUGAGUAACGCGUGGGAACGUACCCCAAAGUGAGGGAUAACGCAUCGAAAGGUGUGCUAAUACCGCAUAUGGUCUUCGGGUUAAAGCCUUCGGGCGCUUUGGGAACGGCCUGCGUAAGAUUAGAUAGUUGGUGGGGUAAUGGCCUACCAAGUCGACGAUCUUUACCUGGUAUGAGAGGAUGAUCAGUCAGACUGGAACUGAGACACGGUCCAGACUCCUACGGGAGGCAGCAGUGAGGAAUCUUCCACAAUGGGCGAAAGCCUGAUGGAGCAACGCCGCGUGCAGGAUGAAGGCCUUCGGGUUGUAAACUGAUUUUAUAAGUGAGGAUUAUGACAGUAACUUAUGAAUAAGGAGCGGCUAACUACGUG